rnacentral:rRNA from 1 species
GCAGGCUGCAACUCGCCUGCACGAAGUCGGAAUUGCUAGUAAUCGUAGGUCAGCAUACUACGGUGAAUACGUUCCCGGGCCUUGUACACACCGCCCGUCAAACCAUGAGAGUUGGCAACACCCGAAGUCGGUAGUCUAACCGCAAGGAGGACGCCGCCGAAGGUGGGGUUGAUGAAUUAGGGUUAAGUCGUAACAAGGUACC